GAUUUGCAAGACCAGAAAAGGGAGGCUCAGGUCUGCCCACCCACACCCCAUGGCCCCUGGCUGGCCCUGGUUGCACUGUCCACCCCCAGAAGUGGGGCUCAGACCCACAUGCUGUGUGGGGGGUCCUGAUGUCAGCCACGGGCUCCCAGCCUGGUCCUGCUCCUGGGCCUCCACCCCUGCUGGGACAGACAACCCCACAUGGAAACCCACAUCUUCACUGCAUUGCUGUGGAAGGUGCUUUGGGUCCCAUGCAUGUGCCUGGACUGGGUGAGAUUCUGUGGCAACUCGUCGAUGCCCGUCGGUGGGAGAGGAGACAUUCAGCUCCGUGAUGGGGCUCACCAGAGGGCUCAUGGCAACCCAGAGCUUGCCAGGGGGCAAGAAGGCAAAUCUAGGUUCCUGAGCUUGGGCUUGGUGCAGAGGGGAUGGGUGUCCCCCACGUAGCAUAAAGCUGCCCAGCCAGGUGCCUCGUGCACAUGGUGGCAUCCAACUUCAGUCCAGACUCUCCAUUGCGUAGGUGAGAAAAGCGGGACUUGGAGAGCAGUCCUUACUUCCUUCAGGUCAAAUCACUCCUCAGAAGCGCCUUCCAUGGCCUUCAGGGCCUAGGGGCUUGUCUGGUGGCCCUUCCUCUUGGUGACAUGUCCACCUCAGCCUUGCCCCUGUCUGUGUGUGGAUGCACUCCCUCUCUGCUGCCCCUGGCUGACUCUGCUGUCUCAGCUGUCUGUGGACGUGCCCUGUCCUCGGGGGAGCCUGGCCCGCCCCCUGCAGCCUGGACUCUCCCGUUGUCCUUCUGGGUUCCCUGCCCCGUCUGCCAUGCGGCUGCUGAAAUGUGCCUUAUGUGUUUACGCGCUCCUUUAUAGGAUCAGCGCUUCUCCCACAGACUGGAGGUUCCAGAUGGGUGGAGAUUGUGUCUGUUUUGUUCACCUCCAACUUCCCAGCAGCCCACAGCAGGUGUAGGUCCUCAGUGAGUCUUUAUUGAACAAGGAAUAAGAGCAUGAAUGGGAGGGGGAGAUUGAGGUUCUCAGACUUGGUCUGUGUGACCCUGAACCUGAUGCAUUCCUGGUACCGCUGUCCCCACGCUUCAUCGUGGCUGCCGCACUUGGGAGCUGCCAGGGGACACUGCUUCUGGGCAUCCAGGGCUGUGAAGCUUCCUGAGGCUGAGUCUCGGGGCUGUGCAUUCCCUUCUCCUUCAGCAAGGGUUCCGCUGCAUGUCCAGCACCCACCCUCAGAAACACUGUGUACCCUGGGCAAGAGGGAGACUGCAAGCCAUGGCUGUGAGUGGAAAUCCGUCAGCUGGGGGGAAGCCCUGGGGAGUGCCCGGCACUGACUUUUCCUCCUCCGUCCCCUUUGAGCUCACAGACGGUGAACACAAGGCAAGAUGGGAGGGCUCGCACAGAGGUCGGCUGCUACGCCAGUUGCAGAAGGGCCAAGGGAGUGGCGAGGUGGACGGGGCAGGCUGGGUGGCUGGGCUGCUGGAGUGGAAGGACUGGCGCUGGGCAGAACCACAAGGACACUGGCCAUCCUCACUUUUGACUGUGUAAAAAGCCUUGAGGCCUGAGUGCAGGGCCCGCAUCAGCCCAGCCAUGCUGGCUCCACGUCUGCACUGGCCACACAGAGACGAUCUUCCUAUUUCACCUGGACAACGUGAAGGUGGCAAGAUGAACCAAGAUGACAGGUAUAAAAGCACUGCAUGAGGUGGGGCCUUCCAGAGACGUGUGCAUUUCAGCUGAGCUAGGGGAUCUCUGUUUUAAUGGAACGGCAAGGAAGAUGAGAGCCAAAAGACACGGAUGCCAGGCCUCACUCUGCAUCAAGCUGCUGUCUGUUCUUCAUAAUGCAUGGCACCGCCCGGGGCUCAGGUUCCUCAUCUGCCAACUCUGAAGGCUGGGCCGAUGCCUUCCAAGCCCUCUGGGACCCUUCCCAGCCUUGCCAGGGAUGCAGAGCUGAAGUGCAUCCCAUCCCCUGGGGACCCAGAGCUCCCACGCCACCAGUGCAGCACCAGAAAGGCUGAUGAUGAGGCGGGGCGGCCCUCCACCCCAGGGGGAUGAUGUUCCUUGUCCAAGUCUAACUUCAUUAAAAAGCCUGUCUCUGA